rnacentral:rRNA from 1 species
GUGGGGAAUAUUGGACAAUGGGCGCAAGCCUGAUCCAGCCAUGCCGCGUGAGUGAUGAAGGCCUUAGGGUUGUAAAGCUCUUUCAGUGGGGACGAUAAUGACGGUACCCACAGAAGAAGCCCCGGCUAACUUCGUGCCAGCAGCCGCGGUAAUACGAAGGGGGCUAGCGUUGUUCGGAUUUACUGGGCGUAAAGCGCACGUAGGCGGAUCGUUAAGUCGGGGGUGAAAUUCUGGAGCUCAACUCCAGAACUGCCUUCGAUACUGGCGGUCUUGAAUCCGGAAGAGGUGAGUGGAACUCCGAGUGUAGAGGUGGAAUUCGUAGAUAUUAGGAAGAACACCAGUGGCGGAGGCGGCUCACUGGUCCGGUACUGACGCUGAGGUGCGAAAGCGUGGGGAGCAAACAGGAUUAGAAACCCCUGUAGUCC